rnacentral:rRNA from 1 species
UGCCAGCAGCCGCGGUAAUACGGAGGGGGUUAGCGUUGUUCGGAAUUACUGGGCGUAAAGCGCGCGUAGGCGGAUUGGAAAGUUGGGGGUGAAAUCCCGGGGCUCAACCCCGGAACUGCCUCCAAAACUGCCAGUCUAGAGUUCGAGAGAGGUGAGUGGAACUCCAAGUGUAGAGGUGAAAUUCGUAGAUAUUUGGAAGAACACCAGUGGCGAAGGCGGCUCACUGGCUCGAUACUGACGCUGAGGUGCGAAAGCAUGGGUAGCGAAGAGGAUUAGAUA